rnacentral:lncRNA from 1 species
UCUUUGGUACCCAGAAUCUUUUGGGUCCUUUAUGAUUAGUUUUCCCAGAGUUUCUUGGAACUUUGGGUUUUCUAGCAUUAUCAAAAUGUUGUGCUUGUGUAUGUGUGUAGUGAUAAGAAAACGGAGAUUUAGGUUUGUCAUUUGUGGAAGAUUUAUCUUCACUAGGGACAUACCCAAUUCCUCUUCUAUUAUUCUGACUAACUCCAUAAAUCAUGGAU